rnacentral:rRNA from 1 species
UACGUAGGGGGCAAGCGUUGUCCGGAAUCAUUGGGCGUAAAGCGCGUGUAGGCGGCCCGAUUAGUCCGCUGUGAAAGUCCAGGGCUCAACCCUGGAAUGCCGGUGGAUACUGUCGGGCUAGAGUCCGGAAGGGGCGAGUGGAAUUCCUGGUGUAGCGGUGAAAUGCGCAGAUAUCAGGAGGAACACCAAUGGCGAAGGCAGCUCGCUGGGACGUGACUGACGCUGAGACGCGAAAGCGUGGGGAGCAAACAGG